rnacentral:rRNA from 1 species
GUCUACAGCCAUACCACCCUGAAUACGCCCGAUCUCAUCUGAUCUCAGAAGCUAAGCAGGGUCGGGCCUAGUUAGUACUUGGUUGGGAGACCGCCUGGGAAUACCAGGUGCUGUAGGCU